rnacentral:rRNA from 1 species
AGCUCCAGUAGCGUAUAUUAAAGUUGUUGCAGUUAAAAAGCUCGUAGUUGGAUUUCUGGUGUGACAUGCCUGGCCCGCUAGCAGAUAAUGCUUGUGAGUGCCGGCGCGUGUCUACCAUCCUUCUAGAAAACGUUUCUACCCUUCACUGGGCCGGAUCCGCAAUCUAGAUCUUUUACUUUGAAAAAAUUAGAGUGUUCAAAGCAGGCUUGCGCUAUGAAUACAUUAGCAUGGAAUAAUAAUCUAGGACUUUUGUCUUAUUUUGUUGGUUUCUAAGAUGGAAGUAAUGUUUGAUAGGGAUAGUUGGGGGUGCUAGUAUUCAGCGGCCAGAGGUGAAAUUCUCGGAUUCGCUGAAGACUAACUUAUGCGAAAGCAUUCACCAAGGAUGUCUUCUUUAAUCAAG